rnacentral:rRNA from 1 species
AACGUAGGUGGCAAGCGUUAUCCGGAUUUACUGGGCGUAAAGCGUGUGCAGGCGGUGUAAUAAGUGGUGUAUGAAAUCUCCGCGCUUAACGUGGAGGGGUUAUGCCAGACUGUUAGACUAGAACCCAUCAGAGGGACGUGGAAUUCCGGGUGUAGUGGUGAAAUGCGUAGAGAUCCGGAGGAACACCAGAGGCGAAAGCGGCGUCCUGGGGUGAGGUUGACGCUCAGGACACGAAAAGCAUGGGGGAGCGAACGGG